CCUUGUUAUCUGUGUCUAGACUCCCCAGAAUCUAUUAAUGGAAAAGUAAUAUUUAAAAAUGUAUUUGUUAACUCAAAUUACAGAUAAAAAAAUGCUUAAGAGCUGGUGUUUUCUAAAUGCUUAUUAUUCCAGAAGCUUUAAGAUAAUACAUUGCCAAGUACCAUUCUUGCAAAUUUUCUCUUACAUAACUGACCAGUGUUUUUUUUAAUAAGACAAGCAGAUAUCUGUAAAUAAUUACUGGCAGUAGGUUACAGUUACUGGUUAAAAAUAACUUUGGC
rnacentral:lncRNA from 1 species